rnacentral:rRNA from 1 species
ACGAACGCUGGCGGCGUGCUUAACACCUGCCAGUCGAGCGGAAAGGCCCUGCUUUUGUGGGGUGCUCGAGUGGCGAACGGGUGAGUAACACGUGAGUAACCUGCCCUUGACUUUGGGAUAACUUCAGGAAACUGGGGCUAAUACCGGAUAGGAGCUCCUGCUGCAUGGUGGGGGUUGGAAAGUUUCGGCGGUUGGGGAUGGACUCGCGGCUUAUCAGCUUGUUGGUGGGGUAGUGGCUUACCAAGGCUUUGACGGGUAGCCGGCCCGAGAGGGUGACCGGCCACAUUGGGACUGAGAUACGGCCCAGACUCCUACGGGAGGCAGCAGUGGGGAAUAUUGCACAAUGGGCGGAAGCCUGAUGCAGCAACGCCGCGUGCGGGAUGACGGCCUUCGGGUUGUAAACCGCUUUCGCCUGUGACGAAGCGUGAGUGACGGUAAUGGGUAAAGAAGCACCGGCUAACUACGUG